GAUGAACGCUGGCGGCGUGCCUAAUACAUGCGAGUCGAGCGAACAGAUGAGGAGCUUGCUCCUCUGACGUUAGCGGCGGACGGGUGAGUAACACGUGGAUAACCUACCUAUAAGACUGGGGUAACUUCGGGAAACCGGAGCUAAUACCGGAUAAUAUAUUGAACCGCAUGGUUCAAUAGUGAAAGACGGUUUUGCUGUCACUUAUAGAUGGAUCCGCGCCGCAUUAGCUAGUUGGUAAGGUAACGGCUUACCAAGGCAACGAUGCGUAGCCGACCUGAGAGGGUGAUCGGCCACACUGGAACUGAGACACGGUCCAGACUCCUACGGGAGGCAGCAGUAGGGAAUCUUCCGCAAUGGGCGAAAGCCUGACGGAGCAACGCCGCGUGAGUGAUGAAGGUCUUCGGAUCGUAAAACUCUGUUAUUAGGGAAGAACAAAUGUGUAAGUAACUAUGCACGUCUUGACGGUACCUAAUCAGAAAGCCACGGCUAACUACGUG
rnacentral:rRNA from 1 species